rnacentral:rRNA from 1 species
AUUGAACGCUGGCGGCAUGCCUUACACAUGCAAGUCGAACGGCAGCACGGGUGCUUGCACCUGGUGGCGAGUGGCGAACGGGUGAGUAAUACAUCGGAACGUACCUUAUCGUGGGGGAUAACGCAGCGAAAGCUGUGCUAAUACUGCAUACGCCCUGAGGGGGAAAGCGGGGGAUCGCAAGACCUCGCGCGAUUAGAGCGGCCGAUGCCUGAUUAGCUUGUUGGUGGGGUAAAAGCCCAACAAGGCGACGAUCAGUAGCUGGUCUGAGAGGACGAGCAGCCACACUGGGAUUGGGACACGGACCAGACGCAGACGGGAGGCAGCAGUGGGGAAUUUUGGACAAUGGGGGCAACGCUGAUCCAGCAAUGCCGCGUGAGUGAAGAGGGCCUUCGGGUUGUAAAGCUCUUUUGUCAGGGAAGAAACACCGGCUCUAACACAGUCUGGGAAUGACGGUACCUGAAGAAUAAGCACCGGCUAACUACGUGCCAGCCGCCGCGGUAA